CUGCCGGGGCAUGGAGUCCUGGUGAGCUCUGUGCGCAUGUGCGAGCUGGCGAGGGGGCUUGGGGGGCCUCGCCCGGGAGAGUGUGGCGCUGCCGUCCCGCCGGCCCCAUGGAGGCCCCGGCCGCCCAGCCUGUGAAGCAGGAGUGCCGGGCCGCCGAGGGCCUGACCCUGGACUCGCCGUGGCACCGCUUCCGCCACUUCCACCUGGGCGACGCCCCGGGCCCCCGCGAGGCGCUGGGCCUGCUGCGCGCCUUGUGCCGGGACUGGCUGCGGCCCGAGGUGCACACCAAGGAGCAGAUGCUGGAGCUGCUGGUGCUGGAGCAGUUCCUGAGCGCGCUGCCCGCCGACCUCCGGGCCUGGGUGUGCAGCCGGCGGCCCCAGAGCGGGGAGGAGGCCGCGGCCCUGCUGGAGGAGCUCUGGGGACCAGCAAUGAGGGCACCUCGGGAUGCGGCAGAAGGCUCCGGGGUCGGCGUGGGAAAGGAAGACAGUGGGGUGACGCCCUCAGGAGACGCGGCCCCCGGGGCUGAGGAACUGGCGACGGGGGACGCCCAGGCCGCGCGCCCUUACAAGCAGGAGCCGGGCAGCCCCCAGCCAGCGCCACCGCCCCCACCCCCACCGGCGCCCGGCCUGCCCGCCUUCCUGGCGGCCCCGGGCUCCGCGUCCUGCCCCGAGUGCGGCAAGGCCUCGCUGAAGCCGGCGCACCUGCUGCGCCAUCGGCAGAGCCACUCGGGCGAGAAGCCGCACGCCUGCCCCGAGUGCGGCAAGGCCUUCCGGCGCAAGGAGCACCUGCGGCGCCACCGCGGCACGCACCCCGGCGGCCCGGGUCCGGCCCUGCGCCCGCUGCCCGCGCGCGAGAAGCCACACGCCUGCUGCGAGUGCGGCAAGACCUUCUACUGGCGCGAGCACCUGGUGCGCCACCGCAAGACGCACUCGGGCGCGCGGCCGUUCGCUUGCUGGGAGUGCGGCAAGGGCUUCGGGCGCCGCGAGCACGUGCUGCGCCACCAGCGCAUCCACGGGCGCGCGGCGGGCGCGGGCGGGGCGGCGGCGCCGGGCCCCGAAGGCGGGGGUCCCUUCCCGCCCUGGCCGCUGGGGUAGCCCCCGCCCCGCCGUGCAACCCCUCCCGUCCCUCACUGGCUCCUCUGCCCCGUCUCUCUCCUCCACCGGCCCCUCCUUUGUCCGAAUCUCCUGGUGCCCUAGAGCUCUCUGUUCCUUCCCAAGUCUCACUUUAUGUCCCAAACCUCACUCCUGUUCGGAUCUCACCCCGUCCUCGUCCUCACAGUCGCUCCCACCUGUAGAAGGAGACUCCUCAGUCCUUCCCUCUCCUGGGUUGGGGGCAGGGCUGUCCAGGAGCCCAGAAGAGGAGCGCAGGGCAGGAGCAGCAGGCGGGGUCCCUGGUCUAGAGGAGGCUGGAGGAAGGGGACUGCGUCUUGUCCCCAGGAGACACCCCCCAGGGCGGAGUGGGGGACGGCUCCGACAGGACAGACCUGGGUUCUGGCAGUGGGCUCCCCGGUCUGGCUCGUCUCUCUGCGAGCCAGAAGGCAUGGGAUGGACAGAGAUGCCUGCCCGUGGGAAGCGCGUCAGAGACGACAGUUCACCAGCAUCUGGAGAGUAAUAAAGCCACUGAUAAGUUGUGCAGACCCCGAGUGCCCUGCGUUCUGUCCUGGGGGCCGCCCUCCGCAAGCUGCCCAGGAUGGGAGGGGCAUUGUGAGCCCCACCUCAGACCCUCCCUGCUGGCAGGGCCCUGGGAGCCUGGGCCCAGGGGGCUGGUUCGUUGUCCUUGAGGCUAGAGAUGAGCUGAGCCCCGUGAGAUGUGGCAGAGAUGAGUUCUCGCGGGGGUCUGCGCUGUGGGGGAAAUGCAGGCACGCGCCGCCGCGUGGGGCCCACUCACUGCCCCAGGAGCACGCCUCCCUCCUUCCUCCUCACGCAGGACGGACUCGGCCCAGCACCCGACGGCUUGGGUUGGCGUCUUGGCCUUAACAGCUCCCAGGCUUCAUGAUCUCAGGCCCCUGAGAAGGGGCCCAUUCUGGAAACUAAAUGAGGGAGUGACUGCAAACGCUUGCGC